rnacentral:rRNA from 1 species
UACGUAGGGUGCGAGCGUUGUCCGGAAUUACUGGGCGUAAAGAGCUCGUAGGUGGUUUGUCGCGUUGUCCGUGAAAACUCACAGCUCAACUGUGGGCGUGCGGGCGAUACGGGCAGACUGGAGUACUGCAGGGGAGACUGGAAUUCCUGGUGUAGCGGUGGAAUGCGCAGAUAUCAGGAGGAAUACCGAUGGCGAAGGCAGGUCUCUGGGCUGACACUGACGCUCAUGCACGAAAGCGUGGGGAGCAAACAGG